GAUGAACGCUGGCGGCGCGCCUAACACAUGCAAGUCGAGCGGGAUCUAUUUGGAGCUUGCUCCGGGCAGAUCCAGUGGCGGACGGGUGAGUAACACGUGAGCAACCUGCCUUUCAGAGGGGGAUAACGUCGGGAAACCGACGCUAAUACCGCAUAACAUACCGGGAUGGCAUCAUUCCGGUAUCAAAGGAGCAAUCCGCUGGAAGAUGGGCUCGCGCCCGAUUAGAUAGUUGGCGGGGUAAUGGCCCACCAAGUCUGCGAUCGGUAGCCGGACUGAGAGGUUGAUCGGCCACAUUGGGACUGAGACACGGCCCAGACUCCUACGGGAGGCAGCAGUGGGGAAUAUUGCACAAUGGGGGAAACCCUGAUGCAGCGACGCCGCGUGAGUGAAGACGGCCCUCGGGUUGUAAAGCUCUGUGAUAGGGGACGAUAAUGACGGUACCCUGUCAGAAAGCCACGGCUAACUACGUGCCAGCCGCCGC
rnacentral:rRNA from 1 species